UACGUAGGGGCGAGCGUUGUCCGGAUUUACUGGGCGUAAAGGGUGAGUAGGCGGUUAUAUAUGUCAGGUGUAAAAAGCUAUGGCUUAACCAUAGUAAGCACUUGAAACUGUAUGACUUGAGUGCAGGAGAGGUAAGCGGAAUUCCUAGUGUAGCGGUGAAAUGCGUAGAUAUUAGGAGGAACACCGGUGGCGAAGGCGGCUUACUGGACUGUAACUGACGCUGAGUCACGAAAGCGUGGGUAGCAAACAGGAUUAGAUACCCCGGUAGUCCCUGA
rnacentral:rRNA from 1 species